AUGGAAGCAGCCUAUCUUAAAAUCUACGACUAUUUCGAUGGUGACCCACUGCUUAUCUAGAGGUACCGUAAUCGUGAAUAUAAAUUUUUGGCUUUUCAAUCUUUUCUUCAUCACUAUUGAUAUGAUUGAUCCGAAAUGGGUUCAACCAUAUAAAAUUCAAGAUGAAAAGAAGCCACCAUUAUCAAAAUAUUUGGGUGCUUUUAAAGUCAUUUUGGCUAACCAAUUUAUCGCAGGACCUUUGAUCACAUUAUUUUGGUACUUUCCAGCAGUUUGGUUUGGAACUAGCUUCACUGGUCCACUCCCAUCUGGAUGGCAGAUAUUCCGUGAUAUAGUUAUUUCGAUUCUUUGCGAAGAAAUUGGAUUCUACUAUUCUCAUAGAUUAUUCCAUCACCCAAAAAUCUACAAAUACAUUCACAAGAAACAUCACGAAUGGACGGCGCCAGUUUCCAUCACUAGCAUUUAUUGUCAUCCACUGGAACAUGCCAUUUCUAACUUGAGUCCGGUUCUUUUAGGUCCAACUAUUUGCGGAAGUCAUGUGAUUACUCUCUGGAUUUGGGCUUCUAUUGCAAUUCUAUCAACUACUUGCUCACAUUCAGGGUAUCACUUCCCGUUUAUGCUGUCUCCAGAACCACAUGACUACCAUCAUAAAGUAUUCAAUGAGUGUUUCGGCACAGGACUUCUUGAUUGGAUUCACGGAACAGAUUCCACAUUCAGAAAGUCAAUUGAAGGAAAACGAAAUUAUAUGAGCUGGAGCAUGAAACCAAUUAAACAAAUUCACCCAGAACAACAGAAAGAAGAAUAA
rnacentral:misc_RNA from 1 species